CAACGCUAGUUCGGUUGGGUUAGGUUACUGAAUAAGGUUUCCCAGAAAUCGCCCGUUUAACGUCAACUAAGUUAUAAUAGAUUUGAGAGGAUACUGAGAAACAACCCUGCCGCUGUGGUAAAUAAGACCUGCGGUUCGUUCAGUGCGCAGUGAGAAGUAACGCGGAGGGAAAGAGAGAGCAUCGGUAACUUUCAUCUCAUCACACAGGACACGUUAUACAUUUAGGCUAUCAAACAGGAAUAGCUAGAGAGAGCCAGCAUGUCUAAUUCCAGACUAACGCCUUCACCCAUUUGUUUGGUGGAGAAUGUGAACGGAUCGCUCUGCGUCUGUAAGGAUGCCACUGAGUUCCUGAGUAGGAUCAAGGAGCCGGUGGUUGUAGUGUCUGUGGUGGGACUCUACCGUACAGGGAAGUCCUACCUUAUGAACCGCCUGGCAGGACAACAGUCAGGCUUUGCUCUCGGUAACACUAUUGAGUCGAAAACCAAAGGCAUCUGGAUGUGGUGUGUCCCUCACCCCAAAAAAGCAGGACACACUCUGGUGCUGCUGGACACAGAGGGACUGGGUGAUGUGGACAAGGGAGACUCUAAGAAUGACAGCUGGAUCUUCUGUCUGGCUGUUCUGCUCAGCAGCACUCUGGUGUACAACAGCCGCGGCACCAUCGAUAACAAUGCAGUGGAAAAUCUGCACUAUGUUACUGAGCUCGCUGAGCAUAUCAAGAUCAGAUCGGCAGAAGCAGCAGAAGAGGAAGAGGAGGAUUCAAAAUACGUGAUUUUCUUCCCAUCAUUCAUCUGGGUCGUUAGAGAUUUCACCUUGGAACUGGUAAUUGAUGGAAAGAAAGUGACUGAGGACGAGUACCUUGAGUUUGCCCUCCAGCUGAAGAAAGGUGUAAAUAAGAAAGCCAGCGACUACAACCUGCCCCGUCAAUGCAUCCGAACCUAUUUCCCAUCCCGGAACUGUUUUGUGUUCCCAUCUCCAGCCGCACCUGAAAACAUGACACACUUAGAAAGUUUACAAGAACAGGACCUUGUACCAGAUUUUCUGGAUGUCACAGGUCGUUUUUGUGACCACAUCUAUCACAAGAGUUUAGUGAAAACACUGAAAGGAGGACACAAAGUUACUGGCAAAUUGUGUGUUGUCAGUGCUCGGGAAUCUGGUGCAGAUUUAUGUGGAUACAAUCAACAGUGGGAAGGUGCCCUGUCUGGACAAUGCAGUGGUUACUCUCGCAAAUCUGGAGAACCAGGCAGCUGUUCAAGAAGCUUUGAAAGUGUAUCAGAGUGGGAUGGAAGAGGUGAAGAACAAGUUCCCAGUAAGUGUGGAUGAUAUUUCCUCAGAGCACCAGAAGUUCAGCAGACUGGCCACCGCCGAGUUCAUGAAACGCUCCUUUAAAGAUGAAAAAGGAGAAUACCUAAUAAAACUGAUGGAAAACAUAGAUAUAUGCUAUGUAGACCUGCUUAAAGAGAAUGAGAUGGCAUCAGAGAGAAAGUGCAGAGAUCUGCUGAAGAAUUUAUUCUCUGACAUGGAUAAAUGGCUGCAGAAUGGAGAGUACAGUCAGUCUGGAGGAUAUGAACUCUACUGCAGAGACAGAGACGCCAUCGUUGAGCAGUACCGCAGAGAACCCAACAAAGGUG